rnacentral:rRNA from 1 species
CACGUAGGGGGCGAGCGUUGUCCGGAUUUAUUGGGCGUAAAGAGCUCGUAGGCGGCUCAGUAAGUCGGGUGUGAAAACUCCAGGCUCAACCUGGAGACGCCACCCGAUACUGCUGUGGCUAGAGUCCGGUAGGGGAGCAUGGAAUUCCUGGUGUAGCGGUGAAAUGCGCAGAUAUCAGGAGGAACACCGGUGGCGAAGGCGGAUCUCUGGGCCUGUUCUGACGCUGAGGCGCGAAAGCUAGGGGAGCGAACAGG